GGUUAAUAAAAUGUCGAACUUUUUUCAUCUUCCCCUUUCCCUCGCCGCCCUAGCUCUGCCUCUCCGCAACAUAUCUCUCUUUCUCUCCGCACCCACCGCCACCGGCCGUAGGACUCUUCUCUGCCUCUCCGCACUUAAUGCCUCCGGCCGUAGGACUCCUCUCUGCCUCUCCUUACUCGCCCGUCGUUGGCCGCAGGACUCUCCGUCUCUUCGCAUCGCAGGACCACAGAACGAGUAAGCAAGCCCUCCGCUAACCACUCCAUACUCCGCAUCAAACCAAAAGGUCAAAGCCAAAGGCAUUAUUUCUCAUGAGAAGUUAUGCUCGACAGAUCAACCAUUUCAUUCUCCUUGGCUAUCAGGUGGCCCUGUUUGUACAAAACCUAUCAGAACCUGGUGACAGAGUUAAAGUUGAUGAACCUAUUUCUCAGAUGAAACUGACAAGGUUUCAAGUGCUAUUCAUAUCUUAUUUAAAACAUUUUUUUACUUAAUUAAGUUUUUAUCCAUAGUCCUUUAGUCAACUCUUAUAAUUUUAUUUGUAUAUGUUUUAGGUAACUAUUGAUGUUGCUAGUCCUGAUGUUGGAAUUAUUCUUGGAGGAUCUAUUUUUUAUUUAUGCUUUGUUUAUAUUCUAACAUUUUUUUCUCAGGGAACUUUUGAAUUUUUAUAUGAUUGAUAGUUUAUUGUCAAAGAAGGCGAGAUAGUGGCUCUUGGGACGAAAGUUGUUAUCUCUAAGUCUGCUCCUAGUGACACUCAUGUAGCGCCAUCAGAAGAGAUAGUCGGUAAGGAUACUUCACCUGCUGUUCCUAUCGAGAAGAACAAAGAUACACAAGUGUCUAAAGUGGAAGCUCCAGUCAAAGAGAAGUCAACUAAUUUAUAGUGUUAUGUGAUUGAUAUAUAUUCUACUGAUUUGUAUGGAUUAAAAGUUUAAUCAUUGUUAUAUAUGUACUAGCUAGUUUGUUAGAGAUUUCAUAUCUUGUUUUGGAUGUUCAUUCCUUAUAUUUUGGUAUAAUGAAAGAUAAUGACUUUUAUUA